GAUGAAGAACGUAGCGAAAUGCGAUAAGUAGUGUGAAUUGCAGAAUUCAGUGAAUCAUCGAAUCUUUGAACGCACAUUGCGCCCCUUGGUAUUCCAUGGGGCAUGCCUGUUCGAGCGUCAUUUGUACCCUCAAGCUUUGCUUGGUGUUGGGCGUCUUGUCUCUAGCUUUGCUGGAGACUCGCCUUAAAGUAAUUGGCAGCCGGCCUACUGGUUUCGGAGCGCAGCACAAGUCGCACUCUCUAUCAGCAAAGGUCUAGCAUCCAUUAAGCCUUUUUUUCAACUUUUGACCUCGGAUCAGGUAGGGAUACCCGCUGAACUUAAGCAUAUCAAUAAGCGGAGGA
rnacentral:misc_RNA from 1 species